UAGGGAGACCAUCUGAUAGUCGACCGAACCUAAACAAUAGGUCAAUAUCAGUCAUCCCUGGUCGUUCGAGGAAUAGAUGUCAAAGCUUUCAAACUAUUAACUGGUUCAGAACUCGCGGGCUAUUAGCUCAGUUGGUUAGAGCGCACCCCUGAUAAGGGUGAGGUCCCUGGUUCAAAUCCAGGAUGGCCCACCUGGAAAAAAAGUGAUGAAUUGUAAGUAAUGAGUAAUGGAUAAUCAAGGAUUAAUUCAAAACUCAUACAAUCAAAAUCAGAACUUGCUUAGUGGGGGUAUAGCUCAGUUGGUAGAGCGCCUGCCUUGCACGCAGGAAGUCAGCGGUUCGAGUCCGCUUACCUCCACUCUCACUAACUAGAACCAAAAAAAAACAAAAGAAAUAGGAAUCAGCACCCAGACUAACUUGGUCUAUUGAGAUCACAGAAGUGAGAUCACAGAAGUCGGAAUGCUGGAGUCUAGAACUCUAGUCAGAACCUUGAAAACUGCAUAGAAAUUAAGUCAUCAAAGCGUGUCUAUUAUCCGAUUGCUCGGAAGAUAUGACAAGCGACACCAUGAAAAAAUCAAGU
rnacentral:tRNA from 1 species